rnacentral:rRNA from 1 species
AGAGUUUGAUCAUGGCUCAGGAUGAACGCUAGCGGCGGGCCUAAUACAUGCAAGUCGGACGGUUCAGCAAUGGAUAGUGGCGGACGGGUGCGUAACGCGUAUGCAACCUGCCUCGGAGUCGGGGACAACAGAGGGAAACUUCUGCUAAUACCGGAUAAUGCAACGGAGCUUCAUGGUUUUGUUGUUAAAGGAGUAAUCCGCUUGGAGAUGGGCAUGCGUCCGAUUAGAUAGUUGGCGGGGUAACGGCCCACCAAGUCGGCGAUCGGUAACUGGUCUGAGAGGAUGAUCAGUCACACUGGCACUGAGACACGGGCCAGACUCCUACGGGAGGCAGCAGUAGGGAAUAUUGGGCAAUGGGCGCAAGCCUGACCCAGCCACGCCGCGUGGAGGAAGAAGGUCCCCUGGAUUGUAAACUUCUUUUAUCGGGGAAUAAAGCGUUAGUAACUCUAAUUUUGAAGGUACCCGAGGAAUAAGCACCGGCUAACUACGUGCCAGCAGCCGCGGUAAUAC